GCUCUCCCUCAGUUGAUGGUUUCGCCGUGGAAGCUCUUCGAACGAAGCUGAUAUUGCUAGUCUGCAAGCGUAUUUCGUCUGAAGAGCGAGAAACGUGGACGACGCCGGCUUCAUUUACUUUUGAACUAGCAUUUAGAUUGUACUAUUCUUUAAUACAGCCCUGCACUUUUUUAAAAAAACUGCGUAAAUGAAUAAAAAGCAAAAGAAACUUGUGGUAAAGCCUAAACAUGUGUUACAGGUAGUCGUGGGGACCCUGCUGGUCCAGCAAAUGCUGCCCUCUCAAACGUUUAUACUUCUCGGAUGCAGGUAGCAAAAUCAGCCAAACCCUACCCCAAAAUGAAGUUUUUAACAAUAAAUCUAUUAUGUAACUUUUGUCCUUGUCCAAUUUCUGUCAAGGGAGGUGUGUACACAUGACAAGCAGCAUCUGAAAUUCUAAAAUGAAUUUAAACAGUUGUUUUACAAUGUGGAUGCAAAACAUUUGUUUACUAUUGGCAUUAUAGUACAAACAAUAACACACUGGGCCAUAGCUAGUACUUCAAGCAAAAGACCAAUUCAGUGUCAUUUUAACAUUUGGCAGCAGUAACAGUAGAAAUGAAGGUCAGCCUGAGUAGUUCUGCUAUAUAAGGAUGUCAAAUGAAAAUUUAUUUGCACAAUUACAGCACGGCUUUAUGGAAACAUUGUAGUUUUGUCCUGGAUCUAUUAGAGUCCAAAGCUACCUUGGUUAUACUACUGAAAUGACUAAUUCAACAAAUUAUACUAUGCGCUAUGAAUAUUAUCUGGAUUACUUUGAUCUACCUCCAGUUGAUGCAAGUAAACUGACAGCCUACAGAUAUUCAAUUGUCAUAAGUUUUUGGAUUGGACUUGUUUCUUUUGUGGCAUUUCUCUUCUUUAUUUUGUUCUACAUGUCUCGAUCUGGUACAACAUCCAUGAAAAUACAGCCUAUCUCAUAACCUAUCUCACCUUGACAACCUCUCAGAAAGACUAGAGGAUCAAAGAAGUUUCCAUGGAAUUAUUCAGAAACACUUCAUCAAAAUCUUGUUAACAAUGACACUGUACGAAUAUCUGUACAUAACCAAGGAGAAGAAAUUGAACGGCUCUGUUCAAGUAAUAGGUUACCAUGUCACCAUACAGACAAUUCAGUGUAAAACCUUCUCAUAAGUGAAAUAUGAAGCCCACUACAUAUUAUAAUAUAAUGUGCUAGGG